UGCAGAUGAUGUGAACAGAAUAUUUGCUAUCUGAGCUUAACGGAUGACAUUGCCACCAAGAUCGCUGAUGCA